rnacentral:rRNA from 1 species
UACAGAGGUCCCAAGCGUUGUUCGGAUUCAUUGGGCGUAAAGGGUGUGUAGGUGGCGCCGUAAGUCGGGUGUGAAAUCUCGGGGCUUAACUCCGAAACUGCAUUCGAUACUGCGGUGCUUGAGGACUGGAGAGGAGACUGGAAUUCAUGGUGUAGCAGUGAAAUGCGUAGAGAUCAUGAGGAAGACCAGUGGUGAAGGCGGGUCUCUGGACAGUUCCUGACACUGAGACACGAAGGCCAGGGGAGCAAACGGG